GCUUACCAGUAGAUCUAACUUUUACCUGAGAAGUUUCAACAGGACUUGAUUUUGCCGAUCAAACAAAAUGGAUGCUGACAUCUUAUACAAGAUUGAAACCAAGGAAGACAUAGAAAAUUCUGGUCAUUAUAAAAUACUGAUCUGUACCUGAAAUUUUCCAGAAAUAAAAAAAACUUUGCCAGAAUGACGGAAUAAAAACUUUUGGGUCGGUGCGACUUUCUCAGACUCGUUCGGGCAAGGGGAAACAAACAAUAUUUUUGUUUUAGCCCUCCUGACUUUUAACGUAGACUUAUCAAAGUACUACAUUAUGUAUUUAAUGACCAAAGUAAAGGUGCAGAUACAAAUUUAUAAAGUCAUAAGACAAUAUUUCUAUCUGCUUUCCUGACCUGUGUGUGUUGGGCGUAACAAGUUUUCUUCACUUGGAACUGCUUCUUCUUGGUAAAACCAAUACAGAACAUCCUCAGAAGGAAACCGUCUGUGGUCUUCACAUCAACAUGAGCCUGGAUCAGGGUCUGCCAUUUCUUCACCAUGGAGCACAGCUUAUCCCUAGUCAGGUCCAUACCAUGGAAGUUGGUCAGGACAUUACGACCUUGGACUUCCUCAGCCAUCAGUUUGAAUUUCCUGAAGGAGACUUCGUCAUUCUGAA